CCCAGGCGCCCCAACAUGUCAUACUUUUUUAAAAUGAAAGUAUGAAGGCAGAGAAUUCAUUAGCUAAAAUAGGGGAUUCAGGAUCAUCUAUAUAUUCAACUGGCUGCCUGAAUCAUCUGAAGACAACAGAUAUUGAUGGUUGUGGCACCAUCUAGUGGUUCUCGAAGUGUGGCUUGGGUACUCUUGGAGGUGUUCGAUACCUUUUCAUGGAAUCUGUGAGUCAAAACUAUUUUUGUAGUUUUUGUCUUUUGCAUUCUCAUUCUCUCUCAUUCUCUCAUACAGCAGAGUAUUCCAGAGGCUACAUGACAUUAGUAACACAACUGACUGGAUACAGAAAGAGAGAUGGAAUCCAGCUUUCUUCAAUUAAUCCAGACAGUAAAGAGAUUUGCAAAAAUGUAAAAUGAUGCCACUCUUUUCACUAUUUUUUUUAAAAAUAAUAUUUGUGUUAAUAUGUAAUGGGUUUACUAUUGUUACUUAAUAUUUAAAAAAUUUCUUGGUUUUAAUUUCUAAUAUGGCAACUACUAAUAGAUACAAUUUUUUAAAGGCUGUUUAGAGUCUUUAAUUUUUACAAGUGUAAAGGAGACCUCAGGCCAAAAAGUUUACAUUUUAUAAACUGGUCAAAUUGUACAAAUUGGUCGAAAGCAGGUACUUACCCAAAAUGUAAGGCCUGUAACUCAAAGUUUUAGGUUUUUUCCACCACUGAAUGGCCAAACUUCUUUGAGCAAACAUGCUGAUAUCUUACCUAGUUUUCAAGCCUGACAAAAUAUGCCACUUCUUCCAUGAAGACCUUUUCUAUUUCUUUCCAACUGCACAUGCUCUCUGCUGGUUUGAUCUGUAUGCCAUUUCCUCCCCCUCCCAGCUGUCUUAUUGUUUUGUAUUUUAAUUAUUUGUAUACUUGUCAUAAUCAG